GGUAAGGCCUCUUCAUAGAAGCAACGUCAGCGCAAUCUAAUUAACGUUAAAGCACUGAGCUUUCGCAAGGAUAUAAACUCCAUGGAACCCAAAGUCAUCAGAACCACAGACUUGAUCAAGAAUGGGAACUUUAGUCAAUUGCUUGUCUGGAAAAAGCUCUAUUGAAAGUGGAUUAGAGGUCCAACUCAGUUCCAAAUCUUCAAGAAGCUGUCCCAUGAGCCAGUGCAAACACACAUGCCAUCUGGUGGUACUCCGG